GUUUCACUAUAUUCCGUACACCAACAUGCAUUUUGUUGUUGAUAAAGCAUUGCUGAAAUGUCAUGUCAGUGCAAUUUGAUAACCUGAAACACCACAGGACCGAGGGACUGAAGCCAUAUUUUUUUUUCCUUCACUUUAAGUGAGAGUAUAUAUAUUACUGUAAUCCCUUGACUUCCAACCCAGAAAUGAGAAGUGCAAAGUGUCCUGGCGAAGAAACAACAGCUUGUGUAAAUUGUAAGUUGUUGUUGCUAUUCUUCCUUUCUUCUUGAAGAGGACCAAUAAUAUCAUGAAGGUAAUAUCUUGACUUAUGGCAUGAAUUGGAUUUAAUGUAAGUGA
rnacentral:lncRNA from 1 species